GAUGAACGCUGGCGGCGUGCCUAAUACAUGCAAGUCGAGCGAACGGACGAGAAGCUUGCUUCUCUGAUGUUAGCGGCGGACGGGUGAGUAACACGUGGAUAACCUACCUAUAAGACUGGGAUAACUUCGGGAAACCGGAGCUAAUACCGGAUAAUAUUUUGAACCGCAUGGUUCAAAAGUGAAAGACGGUCUUGCUGUCACUUAUAGAUGGAUCCGCGCUGCAUUAGCUAGUUGGUAAGGUAACGGCUUACCAAGGCAACGAUGCAUAGCCGACCUGAGAGGUUGAUCGGCCACACGGGAACUGAGACACGGUCCAGAUCCCUAGGGGAGGCAGCAGUAGGGAAUCUUGCGCAAUGGGCGAAAGCCUGACGGAGCAACGCCGCGUGAGUGAGGAAGGUCUUCGGAUCGUAAAACUCUGUUAUUAGGGAAGAACAUAUGUGUAAGUAACGGUGCACAUCUUGACGGUACCUAAGCAGAAAGCCACGGCUAACUACGU
rnacentral:rRNA from 1 species